AGCAGCCGCGGUAAUUCCAGCUCCAAUAGCGUAUAUUAAAGUUGUUGCAGUUAAAAAGCUCGUAGUUGAAUUUCGGGAUUAGUACGUUGGUCGUGCCUUAGGUACGUACUGGUGUUACUGGUUCCUACCUUCUGACGAACCAUCAUGUCAUUAAUUUGGUGUGGCGGGGAAUCAGGACUGUUACUUUGAAAAAAUUAGAGUGUUUAAAGCAGGCUCGCGCUUGAAUACAUUAGCAUGGAAUAAUGAAAUAGGACGUUGACCCUAUUUUGUUGGUUUCUAGGAUUGACGUAAUGAUUAAUAGGGAUAGUUGGGGGCAUUAGUAUUCAAUUGUCAGAGGUGAAAUUCUUGGAUUUAUUGAAGACUAACUACUGCGAAAGCAUCUGCCAAGGAUGUUUUCAUUAAUCAAGAACGAAAGUUAGGGGAUCGAAGACGAUCAGAUACCGUCGUAGUCUUAACCAUAAGCUAUGCCGACUAGGGAUCGGAUGAUGUUAAUUUUUUAAUGACUCA
rnacentral:rRNA from 1 species